rnacentral:rRNA from 1 species
UACGUAGGGGGCAAGCGUUGUCCGGAAUUAUUGGGCGUAAAGCGCACGUAGGCGGCUUGGCAAGUCGGACGUGAAAUCCCUCGGCUCAACCAAGGAAGUGCAUCCGAAACUGCUGAGCUUGAGUACUUAAGAGGAUCGCGGAAUUCCCGGUGUAGAGGUGAAAUUCGUAGAUAUCGGGAGGAACACCAGUGGCGAAGGCGGCGAUCUGGGAAGAUACUGACGCUGAGGUGCGAAAGCGUGGGGAGCAAACAGG